rnacentral:rRNA from 1 species
GUGGGGAAUAUUGGGCAAUGGGCGAAAGCCUGACCCAGCAACGCCGCGUGAAGGAAGAAGGUUUUCGGAUCGUAAACUUCUAUCCUUGGUGAAGAUAAUGACGGUAGCCAAGAAGGAAGCCCCGGCUAACUACGUGCCAGCAGCCGCGGUAAUACGUAGGGGGCAAGCGUUGUCCGGAAUGAUUGGGCGUAAAGGGCGCGUAGGCGGCCCGGUAAGUCUGAAGUGAAAGUCCUGCUUUUAAGGUGGGAAUUGCUUUGGAUACUGUCGGGCUUGAGUGCAGGAGAGGUAAGCGGAAUUCCCGGUGUAGCGGUGAAAUGCGUAGAGAUCGGGAGGAACACCAGUGGCGAAGGCGGCUUACUGGACUGUAACUGACGCUGAGGCGCGAAAGUGUGGGGAGCAAACAGGAUUAGAUACCCGUGUAGUCC